rnacentral:rRNA from 1 species
CCAAUAGCGUAUAUUAAAGUUGUUGCAGUUAAAAAGCUCGUAGUUGAAUUUCGGGGUUAGUAGGUUGGUCAUGCCUCUGGUAUGUACUGGUCUCACUGAUUCCUCCUUCCUGAUGAACCUUAAUGCCAUUUAUUUGGUGUUUUGGGGAAUUUGGACUGUUACUUUGAAAAAAUUAGAGUGUUUAAAGCAAGCUAACGCUUGAAUACAUUAGCAUGGAAUAAUGAAAUAGGACGUUCGAUCCUAUUUUGUUGGUUUCUAGGAUUGACGUAAUGAUUAAUAGGGAUAGUUGGGGGCAUUAGUAUUCAAUUGUCAGAGGUGAAAUUCUUGGAUUUAUUGAAGACUAACUACUGCGAAAGCAUUUGCCAAGGAUGUUUUCAUUAAUCAAGAACGAAAGUUAGGGGAUCGAAGACGAUCAGAUACCGUCGUAGUCUUAACCAUAAACUAUGCCGACUAGGGAUCGGAUGAUGUUAAUUUUAUAAUGACUCAUUCGGCACCUUACG